GCUGUUCCAUUGCACGACUCCCAGUGCUGGAGGAGGCAGCACUGUACUGAGUGGGUCACUUCUCCCACUCACUCCGACCAGCAACCUGAGUGCAGAGGUAGACUCCUGACCAGUGAGACAUGAGGCCAGCAGAUCUGGGACUACAGGGCAGAGGACUCCCAGAAUUCUAGGUGAUGAAAACAACCUCCUGGGCAGCAAGGCUAUCUCCAAGUGGAGGGCCUUAGCUAUGGGAGCCUCCUCCUGGCAGUGUUUGGUUCUGGAGCAUGAACACAGAGUUUUUAGCAUGACAGGCAAAACACUCGACACCUGAGGCUUUGCUGUGUUACUGGGCAGGCCUGUGUGACAUGGGCCUCAGCAACCACACAAGGUCAAACACUGCAGGAUCAACUCUGGACCCUGUUCUCGUCAGAGAGGAAGGCAGACUAUGGGCAAUCACUGCCCUAUCACCCAGGCUUAGGUAAGUGUUGAUCGGGGCUCAGGUUGCAUCAAGUUCAGUAGGGUCUCCUGGGAUAGGUAUUCUCUGUGCCUGUCCUACUCAUGCAGGUAGAGAUUCUCCUAUCUUGGAACUGGGGAUGAAAAUUCGUGAUUGUUGUCUCUGCACAUCAUUCUGUACAGUGACAAAUACAUCAAGGUGGGACAUCA
rnacentral:lncRNA from 1 species